AGUGAACGCUGGCGGCAGGCCUAACACAUGCAAGUCGAGCGGCAGCGCGGGGGCAACCCUGGCGGCGAGCGGCGGACGGGUGAGGAAUUCGUCGGAAUCUGCCUUUUUGUGGGGGAUAACGUAGGGAAACUUACGCUAAUACCGCAUACGUCCUACGGGAGCAAGUGGGGGACCGCAAGGCCUCACGCAGAAAGAUGAGCCGACGACCGAUUAGCUAGUUGGUGGGGUAAAGGCCCACCAAGGCGACGAUCGGUAGCUGGUCUGAGAGGAUGAUCAGCCACACUGGGACUGAGACACGGCCCAGACUCCUACGGGAGGCAGCAGUGGGGAAUAUUGGACAAUGGGCGCAAGCCUGAUCCAGCCAUGCCGCGUGUGUGAAGAAGGCCUUCGGGUUGUAAAGCACUUUUGUCCGGAAAGAAAUCCCUGGAGCUAAUACCUUCGGGGGAUGACGGUACCGGAAGAAUAAGCACCGGCUAACUUCGUG
rnacentral:rRNA from 1 species